GGGCUACCCGCUGAGUUUAAGCAUAUCAAUAAGCGGAGGAA
rnacentral:rRNA from 1 species